GCCUGGCUGGCUCAGUUAGUAGAGCAUAAGACUCUCAAUCUCAGGGUCCUGAGUUCAUGCCCCAUGUUGGGCA
rnacentral:tRNA from 1 species